GUGCUCACUGUGGCAGCACAUAUAGUAAAGUUGGAAUGAAUCAGAGAACAUUAGCAUGGUCCCUGCACAAGGCAGCCUGCUCUGGGAGGGGUGGAGCCUAUAG
rnacentral:snRNA from 1 species